GCUGAGGAGUUAGGCACUACAGGACCCAAAGUGGAGAGUUUUCAGGAACUGAGCUACUCGCAGCCCGCCCCCUGAAAGACCAAGAGUGUCUCACAAACAGUCUUGGGAGAAUAUGGAUCAAGGGUUUCAAGGAGGAACAAUGGCAUCAUGAUGUCUUGACUUAUACUCAAAUUGGAUUUAAAUGAGG
rnacentral:lncRNA from 1 species